rfam:Planctomycetes bacterium GWE2_41_14 gwe2_scaffold_10567, whole genome shotgun sequence.
GGGGGCGAAAGGAUUCGACCGGACAGUUUGAGGUUUAGGUGGCGUAUUGAGGUUGUCAGGCGGCCUCAUUAAAAACCUGGCAAAAUGAUUUAAAUGCCGAAUAUCCAAUGGCAAUGGCUGCUUAAUUAACAGCCACGUUUAAUUAGUCUUACCUGCGAGGCUAAUUAAACGACGAUUAGCAGGUUAGUUCAUUCCUUUUGCCCGGUGGGGAAUGAACGAAUUCUUAACUGAGCUGGUCUAUGGAAACCCUGUCAGUUGGGGUUCCAGAUGGCGAGACUUAAAAAAUUGACUAUGUACGUAGAAGCCUAUGCUGAAAUGUCUAGGGACGCGGGUUCAAUUCCCGCCGCCUCCACCA